GUACCAGACUCCUACGGGAGGCAGCAGUGGGGAAUAUUGGGCAAUGGGCGCAAGCCUGACCCAGCAACGCCGCGUGAAGGAAGAAGGCUUUCGGGUUGUAAACUUCUUUUCUGAGGGACGAAGGAAGUGACGGUACCUCAGGAAUAAGCCACGGCUAACUACGUGCCAGCAGCCGCGGUAAUACGUAGGUGGCAAGCGUUAUCCGGAUUUAUUGGGUGUAAAGGGCGUGUAGGCGGGAAUGCAAGUCAGAUGUGAAAACUAUGGGCUCAACCCAUAGCCUGCAUUUGAAACUGUAGUUCUUGAGUGAUGGAGAGGCAGGCGGGAUUCCGUGUGUAGCGGUGAAAUGCGUAGAUAUACGGAGGAACACCAGUGGCGAAGGCGGCCUGCUGGACAUUAACUGACGCUGAGGCGCGAAAGCGUGGGGAGCAAACAGGAUUAGAUACCCCUGUA
rnacentral:rRNA from 1 species